rnacentral:tRNA from 1 species
AGUUAAUGAACUUGUUAAGUAUAUGUUUUGAAAACAUAAUAAAGAAGUACAUCCUUCUAUUAACUU